UAGUACGGCGAGUGAAGCGGGAAAAGCUCAAAUUUGAAAUCUGGCAGCCUCAGGUUGUCCGAGUUGUAAUCUAUAGAAACGUUUUCCGCGCCGGCCCAUGUACAAGUCCCUUGGAACAGGGCGUCAUAGAGGGUGAGAAUCCCGUCCUUGACACGGACCACCGGUGCUUUGUGAUACGUUUUCAACGAGUCGAGUUGUUUGGGAAUGCAGCUCAAAAUGGGUGGUAAAUUCCAUCUAAAGCUAAAUAUUGGCGAGAGACCGAUAGCGAACAAGUACCGUGAGGGAAAGAUGAAAAGCACUUUGGAAAGAGAGUUAAACAGUAUGUGAAAUUGUUGAAAGGGAAACGAUUGAAGUCAGUCGUGUCUAUUGGACUCAGCCGGUUCUGCCGGUGUACUUCCUUUAGAUGGGGUCAACAUCAGUUUUGAUCGCUGGAAAAGGGCGGGAGGAAUGUAGCACUCUCGGGUGAACUUAUAGCCUUCCGUCGUAUACAGUGGUUGGGACUGAGGAACGCAGCAUGCCUUUAUGGCCGGGGUUCGCCCACGUACAUGCUUAGGAUGUUGACAUAAUGGCUUUAAACGACCCGUCUUGAACCACGGACCA
rnacentral:rRNA from 1 species